AGUCGAUUAGCUCAGUUGGUUUAGAGCGUGGUGCUGUAAGUACAAAUAAGCGACUCCCAGUCCCAUAUGAGAGUGAGUCACUAAAGAAAGAAUAAAAUAUAAAGUUGACGCCAAGGCCGAGGGUUCGACCCCCUUAUCGACUA